UUCCAUAUAGUGUAGUGGUUUAGCAUUCCAGAUUUUCAUCCUCUGUUGAACAUUCUGGCGACCCGGGUUCGAACCCCGGUAUGGAAG